UGCCAAAGUAUGCCCUUGGCUUGCUGCAAUCUUCAAUUCUUGUACCCUUGUCUUUAAAUACAUUCAUCCUUUCGGUCAUCCCUCACAGUUCGAUCAUGUUCUUUGCUCUUCCUAACUAUUUUAUCUUCUCCAAUUUGCUUCAUCAAAUCACCUAGCUCAUGUCUAUUUGCUUGUCGUACCCGAACCAAAUCUUUGAUCUUGACACGGGCAUGAUCUUACUCUGCUUCCAGUGCCUUUAUCAAAGCUAUAUUGGAAGGUUAUAAGGCGGUGUCGGCGACUUAACCGGCGUUGGAGAAGA